rnacentral:rRNA from 1 species
UGGCGGACGGGUGAGUAACGCGUGGGUAACCUGCCUCAUACAGGGGGAUAACAGUUAGAAAUGACUGCUAAUACCGCGUAAGACCACAGCACCGCAUGGUGCAGGGGUAAAAACUCCGGUGGUAUGAGAUGGACCCGCGUCUGAUUAGGUAGUUGGUGGGGUAACGGCCUACCAAGCCGACGAUCAGUAGCCGACCUGAGAGGGUGACCGGCCACAUUGGGACUGAGACACGGCCCAA